rnacentral:rRNA from 1 species
AUUGAACGCUGGCGGCAGGCCUAACACAUGCAAGUCGAACGAGUGGCGGACUGGUGAGUAAUGUCUGGGAAACUGCCCGAUGGAGGGGGAUAACUACUGGAAACGGUGGAUAAUACCGCAUACCAUCGGAUGUGCCCAGAGUGGAUUAGCUAGUAGGUGGGGUAACGGCUCACCUAGGCGACGAUCCCUAGCUGGUCUGAGAGGAUGACCAGCCACACUGGGACGGAGACACGGUCCAGACUCCUACGGGAGGCAGCAGUGGGGAAUAUUGCACAAUGGGCGCAAGCCUGAUGCAGCCAGGCCGCGUGUAUGAAGAAGGCCUUCGGGUUGUAAAGUACUUUCAGCGGGGAGGCGUUACCCGCAGAAGAAGCACCGGCUAACUCCGUGCCAGCCGCCGCGGUAAUUC